AACGAACGCUGGCGGCAUGCCUAGCACAUGCAAGUCGAACGAGACCUUCGGGUCUAGUGGCGCACGGGUGCGUAACGCGUGGGAACCUGCCCUUAGGUUCGGAAUAACUCCCCGAAAGGGGUGCUAAUACCAGAUAAUGUCUUCGGACCAAAGAUUUAUCGCCUUUGGAUGGGCCCGCGUUGGAUUAGCUAGUUGGUAGGGUAAAAGCCUACCAAGGCGACGAUCCAUAGCUGGUCUGAGAGGAUGAUCAGCCACACUGGGACUGAGACACGGCCCAGACUCCUACGGGAGGCAGCAGUGGGGAAUAUUGGACAAUGGGCGAAAGCCUGAUCCAGCAAUGCCGCGUGAGUGAUGAAGGCCUUAGGGUUGUAAAGCUCUUUUACCCGGGAUGAUAAUGACAGUACCGGGAGAAUAAGCUCCGGCUAACUCCGUG
rnacentral:rRNA from 1 species